ensembl:lncRNA novel transcript
AGUCUCUGGGGACGCGGUGGCGGGGUCUGAAUCGCCUGGCUUCCAGGGAGUUUUGGGCGGGUCCCCGCACGGGAGCGUGGCAGGCGCUGGACUCGACAGCAGAUGUGGAACUGGAGAGCUUGGCGCGCCCUCAUACUUUGUCACACACCUACGCCACCAGACUGGGGUCGGGCCCCUCCGCGUUCUGCUCUGGAGGGCCUGGGUCUGGGCCCAGCAUAGCGCUUUUAGAAUCUCCUCAGCUGAAUCUGACGCUCAGCCGUAGGUGAAGCUUAGCCCGCUGUUUCAGGCCCCGCCGAUCUGGAAGGAGUGUCAGAGCUGGAGCGCGCGUGGCCUCAUCGGUGUUGGGGUCACCCCGGGGUUGCCAGGGCUCAUGGAGGGUCGUAGUCUGGAUUUUGUCACCCCCACGUCCCCGCCCCGCAGCAAGUCUGGGGUUGGAGAACUCACGCGGUCUUCGUAAGCUACAUGCCAGUUGACCCUCGAGGAGGGAUGCUCCCUCCCCUUAAGCGUCCACGCUGGAGAAGGAGUAAGAUGGACAAUUGCCUGGGGAGCCUGACAGGGCGGUGGCAGCUGGGAUGCUGGAGAGGACUGGCCCCUUGUGUUACUGAGUCCAAGGAAUAUGCUUGCUCUGCUCUAGGAACCGCGUUCAGGUUACAGUCAUCCCAGUAGAGUCCUGAAGAUGCGUGGUUCAGGUCACUUAGGACUUGACCAGAUACCGGGUUUCUUUUACAAGCCGUUUACUACUGGCAGAGCUCAUCUAAAACUUUUUUUGUUUGUUUGUUUGAGACGGAGUCUCAUUCUGUCGCCCAGGCUGGAGUGCAGUGGCACGAUUUUGGCUCACUGCAACCUCCGCUUCCCGGGUUCAAGCAGUUCUCUGCCUCAGCCUCCCGAGUAGCUGGGAUUACAGGCACCACCUAAUUAGCCCGCCACCACGCCCGGCUAAUUUUUGUAUUUUUAGUAGAGACGGGGUUUCACCAUCUUGGCUAGGCUGGUCUUGAACUCCUGACCUCGUGAUCCACCCGCCUCGGCCUCCCAGAGUGCUGGGAUUACAGGCGUGAGCCACCGCACCUGGCCUAAAACUGAUUUUUUAUUAAUUUUGGGGCUUUUAAUAUUUUUUUCUUAUUUCUAAAUUCUGAGGUUAUUUAUAGUAGCCCCAUAUACGGGAUUAGAUAAUCUCUUGUGAUUUUCUAUUUCUGGUAAUUAUUUCUAAUAUAUGUUUUUUUGUUUUUGAGACGGAGUCUCGCUAUGUCGCUCAGGGUGGAGUGCAGUGGCAUGAUCUCCGCUCUUUGUAGCCUCUGCCUCCCGGGUUCAAAUGAUCCUCCCACCUCAGCCCCCCGAGUAGCUUGGACCACAGGUGCAUGCCACCACGCCGGCUAAUUUUUCUAUUUUUGGUAGAGUUGGGGUUUCACUAUGUUGACCAGACUGGUCUAGAUCUCAAGGGAUUAGUCUCCCUUGGCCUCCCAAAAUGCUGGGAUAAUGGGCAUGAGCCACCGUGCGUGGCCUUAAAGUUACUAUUCUUAAAGUUUGCACAAGUGAUAUGUUAAAGGCACAGACUUAGUAAUAUAAUGUCAUUAUAAUAAUAACCCUAAAACACA